UGUUAGGGAAGAACAAGUACGAGAGUAACUGCUCGUACCUUGACGGUACCUAACCAGAAAGCCACGGCUAACUACGUGCCAGCAGCCGCGGUAAUACGUAGGUGGCAAGCGUUAUCCGGAAUUAUUGGGCGUAAAGCGCGCGCAGGCGGUUUCUUAAGUAUGAUGUGAAAGCCCACGGCUCAACCGUGGAGGGUCAUUGGAAACUGGGGAACUUGAGUGCAGAAGAGAAAAGCGGAAUUCCACGUGUAGCGGUGAAAUGCGUAGAGAUGUGGAGGAACACCAGUGGCGAAGGCGGCUUUUUGGUCUGUAACUGACGAUGAGGCGCGAAAGCGUGGGGAGCAAACAGGAUUAGAUACCCUGGUAGUCCACGCCGUAAACGAUGAGUGCUAAGUGUUAGAGGGUUUCCGCCCUUUAGUGCUGCAGCUAACGCAUUAAGCACUCCGCCUGGGGAGUACGGUCGCAAGACUGAAACUCAAAGGAAUUGACGGGGGCCCGCACAAGCGGUGGAGCAUGUGGUUUAAUUAGAAGCAACGCGAAGAACCUUACCAGGUCUUGACAUCCUCUGACAACUCUAGAGAUAGAGCGUUCCCCUUCGGGGGACAGAGUGACAGGUGGUGCAUGGUUGUCGUCAGCUCGUGUCGUGAGAUGUUGGGUUAAGUCCUGCAACGAGACCAACCCUCGAUUUUAGUUCCCUGCAUUUUGUCGCGCAAU
rnacentral:rRNA from 1 species